GCCAGGUGUGGUGAUGCAUGCCUGUAGUCCCAGCUACCUGGGAGGCUGAGGCUGGAGGAUGGCUUGAGCCCAGGAGUUCUGGGCUACGGUGCCCUAUGCAGACGCAGUGUCCACACUAAGUUCGCAUCAAUUUGGUGACCUCCCGGGAGUGGGGGACCACCAGAUUGCCAAAGGAGGGGUGAACCAGCACCAGGUCAGAAACAGAGCAGGUGAAAACUCCCAUGCUAAUCAGCAGCAGGGUCGCACCUGUGAAUAGCCACUGCACGCCAGCCUGGGCAACAUAGCAAGAUCCCGACUCA
rnacentral:SRP_RNA from 1 species